rnacentral:lncRNA from 1 species
UUGCAAAGGAAGUUAUCUACACAGCAUUUAGUUACACAGGAAGUCCUGUUUAACUAUACAAAAGUUAGAGACAGACACAGAGAGAGACAGACACACAGGCAACACAGAGACAGAGACAGGACAGAGACAGAGAGAGACAGAGACAGGACAGAGACAGAGAGAGACAGAGACAGGGCAGAGACAGAGAGAGACAGAGACAGGGCAGAGGCAACACAGAGACAGGGCAGAGGCAACACAGAGACAGAGACAUGACAGAGGCAACACAGAGACAGAGACAGGGCAGAGGCAACACAGAGACAGGACAGAGGCAACACAGAGACAGGACAGGGCAGAGGCAACACAGAGACAGAGACAGGGCAGAGGCAACACAGAGACAGAGACAGGACAGAGGCAACACAGAGACAGGACAGAGGCAACACAGAGACAGGACAGAGGCAGCACAGAAACAGGACAGAGGCAACACACAGACAGGACAGAGGCAACACAGAGACAGAGGCAACACAGAGACAGAGACAGGACAGAGGCAACACACAGACAGGACAGAGGCAACACAGAGACAGAGGCAACACAGAGACAGAGACAGGACAGAGGCAACACAGAGACAGAGACAGGACAGAGGCAACACAGAGACAGAGACAGGACAGAGGCAACACAGAGACAGAGACAGGACAGAGGCAGCACAGAGACAGGACAGAGGCAGCACAGAGACAGGACAGAGGCAACACAGAGACAGAGACAGGACAGAGGCAACACAGAGACAGAGACAGGACAGAGGCAACACAGAGACAGAGACAGGACAGAGGCAGCACAGAGACAGAGACAGGACAGAGGCAACACAGAGACAGAGACAGGACAGAGGCAGCACAGAGACAGAGACAGGACAGAGGCAGCACAGAGACAGAGACAGAGGCAACACAGAGACAGAGACAGGACAGAGGCAACACAGAGACAGGACAGGACAGAGGCAACACAGAGACAGAGACAGGACAGAGUCAACACAGAGACAGAGACAGGACAGAGGCAACACAGAGACAGGACAGAGGCAACACAGAGACAGAGACAGGACAGGACAGAGGCAACACAGAGACAGAGACAGGACAGAGGCAACACAGAGACAGGACAGAGGCAGCACAGAGACAGGACAGAGGCAACACAGAGACAGGACAGAGGCAAUACAGAGACAGAGACAGGAC